GCCAUACAAUACUUUCAGUUAGCUGUGAAAUUCCUUGCUAUUCAGAAAAUACAUUUUAUAUUUCUCAUAUUCUCACCUCUCUGAAAUCAGAACCUUCUGUGCUAACAAACACCUAAGGGAAGUUUUCAAUGGAGCAUUUUCCAAUGAGCAAAAUCAGCAGCAGCAAAAAAAAACAAAAAACAAAAAACAGUAGUUUGUGUUGAGCACUUGUUGCUUGUAAGAGAACUCAGAGAAAGCAGUAGCAUUAAAACAUACUACCUCUCAGAGGCUAGGGGCAGAGACUUAGGGGAAACCAUAUGAACAACUAUUAUCCUUAGGAUUAAUUCUUUCUAAUUUCAGCUCUGAAUCUGAGGUCUCUCCACCUCUACAGUCACUGCUGCUACCACUACUUUUCCAGUUUCCAUCCCCACUGCCUUCUCAACUGUUCAUGGAAGGGUAGUGGAAAAAGAGCUAUUUGUAUUAUCAAAUUCAACAGUGGUAGCUAAUGCUGUUUUGCCACAAGAAAGAAGAAAAAAAAUCAACAUUUUCGGAAAAAAAGAAAAUAAGUGUGCUGGUAGAAGGUCCCAGGAAGUCAUACUUUGUCCUAACGAGCGAUUUCUCUCUCCUCCCCCUGCAUGGAAGUAGAAGCAUCUAGAAGCAAUACCAUACAUCAUCAAAGAAUUACUCACAAAGAAGACGUAAGAGCACAGCGGGGUGACUACCAUCCACAAACCAGGAAGAAGGCCCUUACCAAGAAACUUCUCAGCUUCCAGAACUGUUUAAGUCACCUGUCUAUGGAAUUUUGGAAAUAGUAACCCAAUCUAAUAAAGCAUUUCUGCUGAGUCAUGUUUGCCUUCUCCAAACACCAUUAAGAAGAGGGGCAGCUAAGGACAUAACUGAAUAACAGAUUCAACAGUGCCUCCAACAGUGAUGAAGAUAGUUUCUAUAAUAUAAUUCUAUUUAUCUAGGCUGUAAACAAACACAAACAACACCCAGAACAAUCAUAACCUACACAGUAAGUUCAAAUCAUAGACAGUCAGUUUUAUUACAAUGAGACAAAAGCUUGCCUAAGAAUUAUCAUGUUCCACUGAAGUAGUAGGAUUAAGUGAAAUCAGACAGUUACAAAAUCCUGUAUGAAUGGGUGUGGCUCAUAACACAAAUGUUGAAUUAAAGUAGCUUAAAAUAGAUGUUUGCAUUUUGUAUUUUACACGGCUUAAUUGAGUAUUGUUUUCUCUAUUCACCUACUACGUCUUUCAGAUAAAAUCAUAUGAGAAAACUUAAUUUUUUAUACAUAAAUGGUUCCCAAAUAUAUCACCUUGGGAGAAGUUCAAGUUUUAAAAUAGAUGGAAUAGACAGAACCAACUAUACCAUAAAAUGUAU